rnacentral:tRNA from 1 species
GCCGCCGUAGCUCAGUGGUAGAGCAUUGGACGCAUUAUUCGAAGGUCGCAGGUUCAGUCCCUGCCGGCGGCA